UCGAUUUGGAGUUUGUUGCCCUGAGUGAUGGGCUCCGAAGCUAACGCGAUAAAUCGACCGCCUGGGGAGUACGGCCGCAAGGUUAAAACUCAAAUGAAUUGACGGGGGCCCGCACAAGCGGUGGAGCAUGUGGUUUAAUUCGAUGCAACGCGAAGAACCUUACCUGGUCUUGACAUCCACAGAAUCUUGCAGAGAUGCGAGAGUGCCUUCGGGAACUGUGAGACAGGUGCUGCAUGGCUGUCGUCAGCUCGUGUUGUGAAAUGUUGGGUUAAGUCCCGCAACGAGCGCAACCCUUAUCCUUUGUUGCCAGCGGUUCGGCCGGGAACUCAAAGGAGACUGCCGUUGAUAAAGCGGAGGAAGGUGGGGACGACGUCAAGUCAUCAUGGCCCUUACGACCAGGGCUACACACGUGCUACAAUGGCGUAUACAAAGGGAGGCGACCUCGCGAGAGCAAGCGGACCUCAUAAAGUACGUCUAAGUCCGGAUUGGAGUCUGCAACUCGACUCCAUGAAGUCGGAAUCGCUAGUAAUCGUGAAUCAGAAUGUCACGGUGAAUACGUUCCCGGGCCNU
rnacentral:rRNA from 1 species